GAAUUUAGUAAACUCUGGGACGAAUGGUUCGUAUCUUUCGAGAAAAAAAGAAGAAGUUAAAUUCGUUAGUCGCCUGUUCACCCCCCUCUGGCCUCUUCGUGCGGGGAUUCGGCAGUGGGCGUCGGCGUGGGGCAUCACAUCUUCCGGCCGGUGUGAUUGGCGGGUGUCCUUGGCGGCGUGGUCCGCAUCUGGCCUCGGCAGCGGCAGAUCUGUGGGUUGCGGCGGUGUCGGGCAACGCGGCAGGUGGUGGCUGCGUGCGGCGCUGCGGAUGGCAUCGGCAAGUAAGCCUGGCGAACGGCGGGUGGCUGUGUCCGUGGAACUGCUGGUUUUGCGGCAGUAGCCACCUUGUAUUGGUACCGAAUCUGGUCAACUUAAAUUGCAUGGGCGUCCUGCUGCGGCCACAACGCUAGCACAUGGCCGCGAAAUCUAGCGCCUUGCAAUUUAUCUUCUCAGGUUGCCGUUCAGGAUUAGAAGCUUCAAGUCUAAAAUUGUCCAGUUGAGGAGGAGCUAGCUCCUGUGUGUUUAAUUUUUUUGGAAAUACCAGCCGGAUGGUGCCUUUUUGAGACCCCACAUGUCAACCGUGAUUACUGCAUCAUAUCUCCUUGCCUGAAGAACCCCGAAAAAACUGAUGAAUAUUUUGGUACUAUACCAUGUUCCCUGCAGUUUUUCCAUAAUGUAUUUUGAGUGAGACCAAGAUUUCUAAGCUUUAUUUGCUUGGUGCAGUUUAGUAUGAGGAGAGACUUGAGGAUGCAAUUAGUGAAUUGAAAUCUGGCGCUAUGAAAGAUAUUGUGCCUUGCCGCUCUUGAAUAUUUUGUAUCGUAUCCUAGCUCUUGGAUAUGUGUUCUUGAUGCUACCAAAAUCAUGUCUAAAUUACUUUCUCGAAGACAGGGUAACGUUUGGACCUUUUAUUUCUCUGAUCCUCUCAAUCUCUCUAAAGAACACACGAUUUCAUCCCAGUUCAUUGGUAAAAUGAUCCCAAUUCCCGUAUAAGAAUUUGAUUUUGACUCUGGAUUAUUUCACUCUUGCAUAAUUGUUUGGCACAAUGUAGCAAUCAGUGCAAAGUAGACAAUGGCAUGAUUUGGGAUGUGUUUCUUUUUUUUUUACUGUAAUUUCGGCUGUGUUUCCAUUGCCCUCAUAGGUAAAACUAAUCUAUGACAAUACGAAAUUGGCUUAGCAGAACAUGUUCAGGAGGGAAGGGUUAUUACUUUGGAGUUUGAUUAUUUCCACUUGGUGAAUGCUUAUGUCCCAAAUUCUGGCCGUGGUUUGGUAGACUAUUAAGAAUUAUCUUUCCUCUUAUUAUUUCUGUUGCUUCAUUUUUACUAUCUGUAUCUAUUUUUUUUUUACUAUGCCCAACCUCCCCGGUACCCGACAAGGUACCUCCGGCUCGGUCGCCACCUUGCUGUGCCUGUACUUGCCGCCUGCCCCGCCGAAUGCUUCCUGGAUGAAUCGAUGGACUUUUGUUUUCUGUAUGCUCGUAUUUUUCCUUGUUUGUGAUUAAAAUUUGUUGAUGCUAUCACAACUGGCGUAGUUGAUUGCAUCAACCAUGAGAAAUAUCAUGUUGGAUCAAGUUGGCUUGCACCUGUUCGAUGGAAUGCUCGUGAGAGUGUUUUUUUUCUGGGUAUACUGCAGGUUGAUCCAGCAUUGGGCGUGGGCAGCACAUUGGAUUCGUUGGUAAGCGUCCUCUUAGACCGAGAACGUGCUCGGCCACCUCGUCCCCUUCACCAACAAGGAUUGUUCUCAGCACCAUGUUGCCAAGGAAGGUGAUGGAUGGGUGGAAAAUCGAUACUCAACAUCCUUGAAGACACUACUGAACAGAGCAAUCCUACAGCAGUCUUAAGGUCCAAGUGUUCUUUUAUGUAUUUUCAGAGUCAAAGGAGAAUCAGCAUAGAGCCGAAGAUCUCUGCUACCUCAUCUUCCAUGAUUUGAACAAAAUCAGGCCUUUGCCCAAUUCUCUGUAGAGUUCAGGCCCAUGAUAACCCACAUGUGGCAAACUUGUUUUGAAGCUCUGGUUGUGCAUCCUCUCCCUAGAAACUAAGUUAGCACAUGUUUGUAUAGCCGAUUAUUUAUUUUUUUAGUCUCCUCGUACAUGUAAUGCAUAUUGCUUAUGAAUGUGUCCUUUGCAUUGGCAGUUGUGCAACAAAACAUAUCCUCAACAUGUUUGCAGCGCUUGAAUGAUUCAUGGCUUGUUAGCUUUUGUAAUUCACGCAUGGAACAAAUGACUUGCAUAUUGUGCAUUAUUUCCUCCCAAAUUCAUAUUUUUCCUAAUUCAUGAUUCGGGCGUGAGAUCAAUUUCCGCUCAAACAACGUCCGACUUGAUCUAGUGUAAUUACCGCAUGCAACAUAAUUUCAGCACAAUGAGGGUUACAGGUAAAACUCCCGAUAAAGUAAAAAAAAAAUCUGUAUACAAGGGAGCCAGGUUCCAGCUACGUUAUAUUUUGAUGACUCUCAGGGUGCAUCGGAAGGUGGUCUUUGGUUACAUCUUGAAGCUCAUUCUGCGGCCAGUGAUGCUACAGUGCUGCCCAAUGCUCGUGAGACUGCAGUCUCUUUCUCCCCGCCUCUUCGGCAGGUUCCACCACGGGCAUCAAAUAACCCUAGAAAGAGGAAGGAGACAAUAGCAGAUUUGGGGGUGGUUAAUGAUGAUGAUGAUUUUGUUCAAGGUCCUCCAAAACCACCGGCGAGUUCCUCCAAGCCUCCCAAAACUCCUGUUCAGAAGGUUAAGAAGUCCAAAUCCUCAGUUGCUGGUCCCAAACCUUCCGAGGAAAUGGAAAUUAGAGAGCUGGAUUUAAAGGCGAAGGUUGACGAGUUAGCAAGGAGCAACAUGCUACUCAACAUAAAGCAUCAGCAACUACUUCUGAAGCUACUAGAAAUGCUCUGCUAGAAGCUGAAUCAUUUGAUUAAUUAAUCUCAAGUCAAAAGACUUGGAAGAGAAGAAGGGAGAGUUGAAAUUAUUGGAAGACAAAGUGCAAAGCUUGGAGAAAGUAUGGUCAUUGGUUGAAGAAGAAUCUUUGAAAAAUCCGAACCCUGGUACAUUUCGUCAUGCAUAUCAACCUUUUUAUUCACUAAUGGUAUUUUCUUCAUCUUUAGUUGCAGAAGUAUAGGCAGCAUAGGUUGAUGAAGCUGUUAGGUUGCAGUAUUUUAUAACCUAACUGUCCCUUGUAAUACGUGGCUACUUAAAAGUCAAAAUGGCUCAACUGCCUAAACCAACCUCACAAGGUGUGCACUACGUACUCAAGGUUCAAAGCCAGGCAAAAUUUUGCAAGAACCCAGUUCAGCUUCAGCAGCGACCCAUGCGCCGCGGGAAGGCACACCUCAGCAGCCACCAAGGGGAUUGUUAGACUUCAAGCUUGCCGGCAGGGUGUUCACGAGUGUGAUGUGCAUCUUCUUCCGUAGCACUCUGCAUAGCUAGUCUCAAGAUGCAUAUACCUCUUUGUUUUGUUUUGCUUUCUGAACUUCGUGAAGUACUCACAAGCCCACCAUAUUUUACCUUCUGUAAUUCAUUCACGUUUUCUUUUAUACAGUAGGACAAACUUCCACGAUAUAAGAUAUAUUUGAUGUGAUUUUAAGAAUCUAGCUGUAAUGUGUA